AUUGAACGCUGGCGGCAGGCCUCACACAUGCAAGUCGAACGAGUGGCGGACGGGUGAGUAAUGUCUGGGACCCUGCCUGAUGGAGGGGGAUAACUACUGGAAACGGUAGCUAAUACCGCAUACCAUCGGAUGUGCCCAGAUGGGAUGAGCUAGUAGGUGGGGUAAAGGCUCACCUAGGCAACGAUCCCUAGCUGGUCUGAGAGGAUGACCAGACACACUGGGACUGAGACACGAGCCAGACUCCUACGGGAGGCAGCAGUGGGGAAUAUUGCACAAUGGGCGCAAGCCUGAUGCAGCCAUGCCGCGUGUAUGAAGAAGGCCUUCGGGUUGUAAAGUACUGUUGGCGGGGAGGCGUUAUCUGCAGAAGAAGCACCGGCUAACUCCGUGCCAGCAGCCGCGGUAAUAC
rnacentral:rRNA from 1 species